AACUCAUCCCCUGGAAGAGUCUCCCACUGGUUGCUGUGACAGCACUCUUCAUGUUGAGCCAGCACCAACAAUUAACAAUCAUAAUUACAUUUGCACUACACAUGGUCCAAUGCCCUAUUGAGGAUAUGCUUUUUGCAGCGCAGGAAAGAGUACAUGAACUUGAAACUGUGCAAGCCCUUUGUAGUUCUUAAUGGAAGAUGGCACAUCUGAUGUGAAACAGUAACAUGUGGUAACAACUAACAACCACCCAUUGUAUCUCGACUGCUGUAGGAUUCACUAUUUGGAAGCCACGAAUGCAGGAAGUUUGAAGCUCAAAUUCCUUUGACUGUUCAUCUGUAAUUUGGAGACUAUCAAAAUGGAGUUGCUGACUCUCGUCUAACACAGUGGGUGGAUAUUGAAGAUUGGAUGUCUGUUAAACAUGACAGUUUUUCCACAAUAACUUCUGUCAAUGGUCUUUGCUGAAUCCCAUCUAGUCUCUUGGGAAUAUGCC